CCUACGGGAGGCAGCAGUGGGGAAUCUUGCGCAAUGGGCGAAAGCCUGACGCAGCCAUGCCGCGUGUAUGAUGAAGGUCUUAGGAUUGUAAAAUACUUUCACCGGUGAAGAUAAUGACUGUAGCCGGAGAAGAAGCCCCGGCUAACUUCGUGCCAGCAGCCGCGGUAAUACGAAGGGGGCUAGCGUUGCUCGGAAUUACUGGGCGUAAAGGGAGCGUAGGCGGACAUUUAAGUCAGGGGUGAAAUCCCAGAGCUCAACUCUGGAACUGCCUUUGAUACUGGGUGUCUUGAGUGUGAUAGAGGUAUGUGGAACUCCGAGUGUAGAGGUGAAAUUCGUAGAUAUUCGGAAGAACACCAGUGGCGAAGGCGACAUACUGGAUCAUUACUGACGCUGAGGCUCGAAAGCGUGGGGAGCAAACAGGAUUAGAUACCCUGGUAGUCCACGCCGUAAACGAUGAUUGCUAGUUGUCGGGAUGUUUACAUCUCGGUGACGCAGCUACGCAUAAGUACAAUACCGCCGUCGGGGUAGGUACGGUCGGCGAAGAAUUAAACUAACGAAAGGAAGUUAGACGGCGUGAGACGUGCCGACGGACGACGACGAGGGAGGAGG
rnacentral:rRNA from 1 species